rnacentral:rRNA from 1 species
AGCUCCAAUAGCGUAUAUUAAAGUUGUUGCAGUUAAAAAGCUCGUAGUUGGAUUUCUGUUCAAGACGACUGGUCCAUCUCUUGGAUGUGUAUCUGGUUUGUCUUGGGCAUUUUGAUGGGGGGUGUAUCUGCACUUGACUGUGUGGUGCAUUUGCCAUCGCUUUUACUUUGAGGAAAUUAGAGUGUUUCAAGCAGGCAUAUGCCUUGAAUACAUUAGCAUGGAAUAAUAAUACAGGACCUUGGAUCUUUUUUGUUGGUUUCUGGAACCAAGGUAAUGAUUAAUAGGGAUAAUUGGGGGCAUUCGUAUUCAACUGUCAGAGGUGAAAUUCUUGGAUUUGUUGAAGACGAUCUACUGCGAAAGCAUUUGCCAGGGAUGUUUUCA